rnacentral:lncRNA from 1 species
GAGGACCCUCACCAAAUACCAAAUCCAACAGCAGCGUGAUCUUGGACUUCCUAGCCUUCAGAACUGUGAACUAAAGUGGAACAGAGUUCCUGGACCCCAGCUGGGAUUUCACUGUUGCCCCUCUGGAAACAUCUUCCCUGGAGAUUAAGCCUAUGGGAGAAGAGUCUUAGUGGACUUCACCAGGACUACACUUCCUUUGCCCCCUCCGUGGGGCCAAGGGGAACUUCCUCCAGAUCCUCCCUGAUCCACCCUACGAGAGCUUGGUGUACUUCCUGGAAGAAAAUUUUGCUUAUGAAUGGAGACCUCCAGGACCUUCUCACUCUUAUGCUGUCCCACACUUAGCCUCCAACAAUUUAUCAAAAUUUCUAGUUUAAUAUUCCACAAACAUCUGCUUCAGUGCUUCCCAAAGUGUUCUGAAGAACAGCAGUCCUUUGACGUACUCUAAAAAGACCAACUUCUCAGUCAAUAUGCAGAUUUCUCGAAAAACUAAAAAUGGAACUACCACAGAUUCCAGCUAUUCCACUACUGGGUAUUUCUCCAAAGAACAUGAAAUCAACAAUUUAAAGAGACUUAUGCACCCCUAUGUUCAUUGCAGCGUUAUUCAUAAUAGCCAAGAUGUGGAAACAACCCAAGUGCCUAUCAACUGAUGAUUGGAUAAAGAAGAUGUGGUGUGUAGAUAUAUACAAUGGAAUACUACUUAACCAUAAAAAAGACAAAAUUGUCCCAUUUGCAACAACAGGGACAGACCUUGAGGCUAUUAUGCUAAGUGAAAUAAGUUAGAGAAAGACAAACACCAUAUCAUUUCACUGGUGAAAAAACAAGUAUCUGCAGGUGAAGCAUCUUGGUCAAGUCCCCACGGGAAAGGAGAGCUAAAAUCCAGUCUGAGUUUUCCGACAGGCUGGACGUGUUGCAGCUGAAGCCCAAUAAGCUUGGAUUAUAGCUGUUAGGGUCAAGUCUAUUGUCCAUUGUCAGUCUUCCUAUUGGAAAUAUUUCGAACGUGCAGAUCUUAAUCUGGAGCACUCAUGAACCAUAUUCCUACGAGCGUUGCUUGCUCCAACACCUUCGGCAGAAUGAUUGGGCCAUGAACAGAUAAGUGGAAAUGGCUCAUCUUGCUCUUCUCCAAGAUGCUUUCUGUCUCUCUUUGUUUUCUCUGUGACUACAGCCUCUGGGUUUUAUCCUUUUCUUAUAGCAACCUGGAGGGAAUCUUGUAAGUCCAACUUGAAAUGAGUCAUUGGACAGCAGCACUGGAGGCAGUGAAACGUCCCACGUAAAGCUGAUAUCUCUUCAGUCUGCAAAGCUAAGGAAUCACCACCUGUUUACUCAUUCCGUGAUCACUAUUGUAUAAGCUACAUAAACUACGAGGAGGAGAAAUGGGGUCUGGAAGUUCUUUUACAACAUGUAUAUAACUUAGUUUAUUAUUAGCACCUGGAAGGCAUCUCAAUCAGUAUUCAUUCCUUUGAAACUUUUAAGUUGAGAAAUAUUUCUCUUUUAUGAAAGGGAACAUUUUAGGGAAGAUCAGCAGUUCUCCAGCUAGUGUGGAUAACACAGAGAUACUAAGUGGAGGAAGCUCGUGUGCAGCAAGAAGAAGAGGAUGCUUCCAGGUCCCGCCUGCCGUGAGGACGCUGCAGCAAACACAGGGGCACAGAUGUCCUUUCCAAUUAGUGUCUUCACAGUCUUUGGAUAAACACCCAGAAGUGGAAUAGCUGGAUUAUGUGGUAGUUGUAUUCUUAAUUGUUUGAGGAAUCUCCUUACUGUUUCAUCUGAAAUUUAUAGAACGUUAUAAAUCAAUGUUACCUCAAUAAAAUUAAAAAAUAAAUUUUAAAAAAA